CAGGAGUAAAUGCCAUGCUUGCUAUGCUUACUAUUGUGAUAGCACCAUGAGCUUCUAUAUAUAAAGUUAUCACUUACUGUGUCAACAGCAACUGAACUGCACAUAAUAAGUCAGCUGGAACAUCUUAAAGAAGAGGUGGCUGUUGUCAAGCAGCUGUUAUUAUCACUGACAAAUUGCACCUCUCCAGCUGCAGUCCUGCCAGAGGGCAUAUGUUUUCCACUGAACAACUUGCAGGACCUAGAAAUGGUGGAAAAUAGGCUUAAGGAGGAGGCCUGCUACAGGGAAAUGGUAAAGUAUCUGGCAACAAUUGGGGGUCCCAACCCAUCUGCCAACACAAGACGCAUCCUUGUGCAUAUGCUAACUACUCCACUGGCGCAGCAGUUGUGCUGGCAGGGCUCUGGCCAGAAGAUGGCCUUUGGGGAGAUGCUGGUCUGCAGAGCAGUCAUCAGUGUAUCCAAUGUGCCCACAGUAUACCCCAAAGUAUGCCCAAUGUGCCUACAGUACACCCCACAGUGUGCCCAAUGUGCCCACAGGGGAGCAUCCAGCAGGCCAAAAAAUGCAGGGCAUGUAUGUGUAGGUAACUGAUCAGCUAUACUGAU